rnacentral:rRNA from 1 species
ACACGCAUGACACACUGCAUAUCAAUAAGCGGAGGAAAAGAAACUAACUAGGAUUCCCCUAGUAACGGCGAGUGAAGCGGGAAGAGCUCAAAUUUGAAAUCUUCAAGGUUUGACCUUGACGAAUUGUAGUUUAAUAGAAGUGUUUUCUGUUAGUAGGAGUAGGCAAAAGUUCUUUGGAAUAGGACAUCAUAGAGGGUGAGAAUCCCGUAUUUGACUAUUCCUUCCUAGCGUUGUGAUACACUUUCAACGAGUCGGAUUGUUUGGGAAUGCAGUCCAAAAUGGGUGGUAAAUUUCAUCUAAAGCUAAAUAUUGGCGAGAGACCGAUAGCGAACAAGUACCGUGAGGGAAAGAUGAAAAGAACUUUGAAAAGAGAGUUAAACAGUACGUGAAAUUGUCAAAAGGGAAGCGUUUGACACCAGUGUUGUUUUUCCGAAAAUCCAAUUACGAAUGUUUUAGUUUUUAAGAAGUUAUGACUUCAUCGGCUUGCUUCUCUCUUUAUGAAACUUUCUUAAUGCACUUUUCGGUUAACAAGUCAACAUCAAUUUCUUUUGUUGUAAAAGGGUAUGAGGAAGGUGGCUUUCUUUUCGGAGAAAGUGUUUAUAGCCUUGUAGCCUCUGCAAUCGGAGAGAUUGAGGUCUGCAGCGUAGAUCCUUCGGGGUUAGAUACAGUUUGUGCUAAGUUAUAGCUUUUCAUAGACAACUUGUUGACUAUGUUUAGUCUUGUAGCUUACUCGCUGAUGCUAUUUUACCUACGCUUAGGAUGUUGAGCGCAUGUCUCUCUCU